GAAGAGCAUUCCAGGUGGAAAGAACCAUAUAAGCAGACACUGGAAAGCAGGGUUUCUUCAAACACCUUUGAUAUACUGCAAGGGCUCUUUCUGAAGGAUGAGGAGGGAGAAGGUGGCCCAGGAGUCCACUGCGAGAUCCGAGGCAAGAGCAGAGCGGGGAUCAGGAGGCUUGAAGCAACCUGAAGGCAGCAGGAAAGAGCUGAUGUCUACUGGAUGCCUGAAGCAACACCUUAAUCUCAAUCUCCCCUGCUGGGAGCAGAUGCAGCGGGGUCCAGACAGACAGAGGCAAGGACUGCAGAGGGA